rnacentral:rRNA from 1 species
CCUGGUGGCGAGUGGCGAACGGGUGAGUAAUGCAUCGGAACGUGCCCAGUCGUGGGGGAUAACGUAGCGAAAGUUACGCUAAUACCGCAUACGACCUGAGGGUGAAAGUGGGGGACCGCAAGGCCUCACGCGAUUGGAGCGGCCGAUGUCAGAUUAGCUAGUUGGUGGGGUAAAGGCCUACCAAGGCGACGAUCUGUAGCGGGUCUGAGAGGAUGAUCCGCCACACUGGGACUGAGACACGGCCCAGACUCCUACGGGAGGCAGCAGUGGGGAAUUUUGGACAAUGGGGCAACCCUGAUCCAGCCAUGCCGCGUGCGGGAAGAAGGCCUUCGGGUUGUAAACCGCUUUCGGACGGAAAGAAAUCGCCUUGGCUAAUACCCGGGGUGGAUGACGGUACCGUAAGAAGAAGCACCGGCUAACUACGUGCCAGCAGCCGCGGUAAUACGUAGGGUGCGAGCGUUAAUCGGAAUUACUGGGCGUAAAGCGUGCGCAGGCGGUUUCUUAAGCCAGAUGUGAAAUCCCCGGGCUUAACCUGGGAACUGCAUUUGGAACUGGGAGACUAGAGUGCGUCAGAGGGGGGUGGAAUUCCACGUGUAGCAGUGAAA